UACGUAGGUGGCAAGCGUUGUCCGGAAUUAUUGGGCGUAAAGCGCGCGCAGGCGGUCCUUUAAGUCUGAUGUGAAAUCACGUGGCUCAACCACGUGCGGUCAUUGGAAACUGGGAAACUUGAGUGCAGGAGAGGAAAGUGGAAUUCCAAGUGUAGCGGUGGAAUGCGUAGAUAUUUGGAGGAACACCAGUGGCGAAGGCGACUUCUGGUCUGUAACUGACACUGAGGCUCGAAAGCGUGGGGAGGCGAACAGGAUUAGAUACCCU
rnacentral:rRNA from 1 species